UACGGCCACAUCACGUUGAAGCACCGGUUCCCGUGCGACCACCAAAGUUAAUCAACGUCGAGUCUGGUCAGUAUCUAGAUGACCGCUUGGGAAUACCAGGUUCUGUAA